rnacentral:rRNA from 1 species
AGCUCCAAUAGCGUAUAUUAAAGUUGCUGCAGUUAAAAAGCUCGUAGUUGGAUCUCGGGGUACCUGGUCUAGCCGGUAUAGCUCACGCUCAAACUGGUCUGACCCCCCAACGUGAGGUAUUCGUCUCCGGGUGCACUUCAUUGGGUGCUCUUGAGGGGCCUCGUAGUUACUGUGAAAAAAUUAGAGUGUUCAAAGCAGGCUCAUAUGUUCGGAUAGUCGUGCAUGGAAUAACUGAAUACGUGACGGGCGCUUUUCAGUUGGGCGCGGCGACUGGUCAAAGGAGUAAGAGGGACAGGCGGGGGCAUUGGUAUGGCGGGGUUAGAGGGGAAAUUCUUGGAUCCUCGCCAGACCAACAAAAGCGAAAGCAUUUGCCAAGAAUGUCGGCA